rnacentral:rRNA from 1 species
UACGUAGGGGGCUAGCGUUGCUCGGAAUUACUGGGCGUAAAGAGUGUGUAGGCGGUGCUCUAAGUUUGGUGUGAAAUCUCCCGGCUUAACUGGGAGGGUGCGCCGAAAACUGGAAUGCUUGUACGUGGGAGAGGAAAGCGGAAUUCCUGGUGUAGCGGUGAAAUGCGUAGAUAUCAGGAGGAACACCUGCGGUGUAGACGGCUUUCUGGACCAUUGUUGACGCUGAGACACGAAAGCGUGGGUAGCAAACAG